UUGCUAAGUUUGAUGGCGACCGGCGCACGGGUGAGUAACACGUAUCCAACCUGCCGAUGACUCGGGGAUAGCCUUUCGAAAGAAAGAUUAAUACCUGAUGGUAUGAUGAGAUUGCAUGAUAGCAUAUAUUUCCCGCAUGGGUUUUAUAUUAAAGAAUUUCGGUUAUCGAUGGGGAUGCGUUCCAUUAGUUUGUUGGCGGGGUAACGGCCCACCAAGACUACGAUGGAUAGGGGUUCUGAGAGGAAGGUCCCCACAUUGGAACUGAGACACGGUCCAAACUCC
rnacentral:rRNA from 1 species